rnacentral:rRNA from 1 species
UACAGAGGUCCCGAGCGUUGUUCGGAUUCAUUGGGCGUAAAGGGUGUGUAGGAGGUUGGGCAAGUCAGAUGUGAAAUCCCGUCGCUUAACGACGGAAUGGCAUUUGAUACUGCCUGACUAGAGGAUCGGAGGGGGCAACGGAAUUCUUGGUGUAGCAGUGAAAUGCGUAGAUAUCAAGAGGAACACCGGUGGCGUAGGCGGUUGCCUGGAAGAUUCCUGACUCUGAAACACGAAAGCCAGGGGAGCAAACGGG